rnacentral:rRNA from 1 species
CCUACGGGAGGCAGCAGUGGGGAAUAUUGGGCAAUGGAGGAAACUCUGACCCAGCAACGCCGCGUGAAUGAUGAAGGUCUUCGGAUUGUAAAGUUCUUUUCUAAGGGAAGAAGAAAGUGACGGUACCUUAGGAAUAAGCCUCGGCUAACUACGUGCCAGCAGCCGCGGUAAUACGUAGGAGGCGAGCGUUAUCCGGAAUGACUGGGCGUAAAGGGUGCGGAGGUGGGUUGGCAAGUUAGUAGCGGAACUCCCAGGCUCAACCUUGGAACUACUAAUAAAAAUGUUGGACCUGAGUGCAGGGAGGGCCAACCGGAAUCCCAGGUGUAGCGGUGAAAGG